GAUCUCAUCAUCUAAUGGCAGGAUAUAAUACCUUCAAUAUUAAUAUGUACGUUCAAAUCGUACUGGGAUCA
rnacentral:tRNA from 1 species